AUGUUGAAAAUGUUGGCUGGGGAGGCAGCACGGGGGGGACAGAGCCGAUGGCCCCCCAGGUGCCAGCACCGGGCGGUGGGGAGAGGUGGCAGGGAGAGGUUUGGGCACCCUCCUGUCCUCCUCCCCGUCCCGCGGCCGGCCCCGAGGAGCUAUUUCGGGCAGGGUAAACAGGAUGGCUCACACACACCGCCACCUCCUCUCCUCCCACCCUCCUUCCUCCAGGAGAAGCCUCACGGCCCAGCGAUGCCGCCCGGCCGUGGCCCACCUCGGCCUGGGCUCGGCCUCCACGGCGCUUCGGCCUUCCCCACCUCCUCCUCUUCCUCCCCCAGGAGCCCGCCGGGGCCGUUUCCGCCUCGCCUGCUGCUGUGGGGAGGCAGCGGAGGAGCCGCGGCCCCGGCGCUGGAAGGAGGAGCUUUCCCAACGCUUCCUCCAUCUGCCUGGCUCCCCCUGCUCCUCACGCCGCCACAGCCCAGGCCCCGGCCGCUCGGUGGCCGCCAUCCCCGGCCGUGUGCGAGCCCUGCAGGCAGUGCCGGGCCCAGAGGGGCUCCACUUGAGCCUCUGCUCCCAAACCACAGCGGCACUGAUGCCGGCUCCCUCUUGUCUCCCCGCAGCACGCAGCCACGCUGCCUGUACCCCAUGGCCGUGGAGCCUCCCCGCUCCCCAUCCCAGCCUCCUGCCCGGCAAAGGAGGCUGAGGGACCCCCAUGGCCGCCCUCCUGCACCCCAGCGGGGCCUGGCACAGCCCGGCACAGCCCGGCACGCCUCGCCUCGGUGCUGGCGGCAGCUCAAGGCUGAGGUUUACGAGGAGCUGGGCGUGGAGCAGGUAGCAAGGGAGGCGCGGGUGUUGCAAUCGGCCUCUGAGGCAACGUCGGGGAGCCGAGGCCGGUGCCAGGAGGGACCCGUUCGGCUGGCGCCAGAGCCCGCGGGGGCUGGCACGGGGCCCGCUCUGUGUGUGUGUGUGUGUGUGCUGGGGAGGCCACGGGGGGAGGAGAAGGGGGCUGAACGCCCCCAGCACCCUGCCCCGGGCUGA
rnacentral:lncRNA from 1 species